CUCUUCCAAUGUGCUCGGGAGAACCACACCAUCAAUUGUGCCUGUUGCCAUUAUAUGCUACAAUUGAGGGGAAAAAAACAUACGCUGGAGACCAGAUGUUGCUGCCUGGUUUGGUGAUCCCAGGUAAAAAGGAAAAAGGCCGAUGAGAGAAUACUGUUAAGUGGCUGAGGAAUGCGGAUGAUUGUGAUAUCACCAUUUUGAACGGACUUUGCAGCUGAAUGUACCUCCAAGGGGUGCCGCUGGUAUUUUUGAAAGCAGGUAACGUCAACUGCGCUGAUAUGGAGAACACGGCAUGCUAAACACUGAAAGUGGCUUUGAUGUCAUGACUAGGGUUUCUCUGUGAUGUGUCGUGGAAUACAGAAGGUGAAACAUGAGCUCUGAUCCUUAGAUGUCUAUAAUACUACUUAUUAGCGAAUAGAAUGAUACAACUUUG